AGCACACAGGUUUUGGUGUUGUGAAAUACAGAGGAGAACAGAGUCAUGCCCCAGGCAGUGAUUUCAGAAGGACCUGUGAAGGUUCUUGGGAGUCUUGCAAGAGAAAACUGCAGCAAUUUAAUGCCUUUCCAAAUUAUCAUUUGUUGCAUAUAUUGCCUGAUGGUAGUUUUGAAACAAAAGUAAAAGGAGAUGAUUUACAAACAGUG